GCGAUCGCUUUUUUCAGUUGGGCAAUCGUCGGAGAGCGCUGAUGGAGCUGAAAUAUCAAUGAAAAUGCACAGUGUGAGAAAUAGAGAAUAUAUUCAUUCGUAGCUGUAGCUCAGCAUGAACCAUAUCUUUAUUUUGAAUAAUAAGUCGCAAAAUAAGAAGCUUGUUGGAACGGGAAUUCUUUUUAAGUUUUCGAUUUUUGGAACUACUAAUUGAAAAAAUGCAAAUAAAUUUUAAGCAUUUUACAUGUGCCUGUAAUUAUAUUUGUUCUACCUUCGGCACGCAGGUAAUUUAAUGGAAAAAUACAUGAACUUCGGAAUGCAAGUUUUAGGAACUUUUUUCCGGAUAACUAAAUAGAUUUAUAAUAUAUAAUGGAGAUGGUAGACCCAAAGUUUAACCACAAUAUAAAACAGUUUGUAUUCAAAGAAUCAAUGAAGCAUGAAGCUGCAAGAAGUUCUUUCUCUUCUCUUUUUAAUUCUUAUUUUCAUUGUUCCACUUUUCAAAUGGCGUUUUUGGCAUGAAAAUGAAAUAGUGUUUACAUAAACGGCGAAAAUUUCACCAGCGUCUACAAAAGAACCUCGCGAAUUGGACAUUAAUCAAAUUGAUGAAUCGAAAACGGCUACAUAUGUAUGUACAUAUUGAAUUGAAUGGCAAUCGGGUGCAAACAGCUGCGCGCAAGGUAACUGGGAGUUGUGGGGUCAAUUGAGAGCUUCCGACUGAGACUCCGAACAGCCGACCAGUGCUGCCAACUGACGCUUCGGAAAAAUAACGGAUUCCAUGUAAAAAAAAGCUUCGUGAAUGUAAAAAUAUUGUUGUAUUAGCUUUCUGUAAAUUGCUGGCAAAAACAACUGAUUAUAUCAAAUUAGAACAAUGCGACUGA